GAUGAACGCUGGCGAGAUGCUUUACACAUGCAAGUCAUACGAGAGUUUUUAACUCAAGUGGCGGACGGGUGAGUAACACGUAAGAAUUUACCUUUAGGAGGGGGAUAACAACGAGAAAUUGUUGCUAAUACCCCAUAUGCUUUCGAGUGAAAUGGAUUUUUCCGCCUAGAGAGAAGCUUGCGCCUGAUUAGCUUGUUGGUAAGGUAAUGGCUUACCAAGGCGACGAUCAGUAUCUGGUUUGAGAGGAUGAUCAGACACACUGGAACUGAGACAUGGCCCAGACUCCUACGGGAGGCAGCAGUGGGAAUUUUGCACAAUGGGCGAAAGCCUGAUGCAGCAACGCCGCGUGAGCGAAGAAGGUCUUCGGAUCGUAAAGCUCUGUCCUAUGGGAAGAACACAAUGACGGUACCAUAGAGGAAG
rnacentral:rRNA from 1 species